rnacentral:rRNA from 1 species
UACGGGGGGGGCAAGCGUUGUUCGGAAUUACUGGGCGUAAAGGGCGUGUAGGCGGCUGGAUAAGUGGGAUGUUAAAUCCCCCCGGCUCAACCGGGGACCUGCAUCUCAUACUGUUCAGCUCGAGCACAUCAGAGGAGACUGGAAUUCCCGGUGUAGCGGUGAAAUGCGUAGAGAUGUGGAGGAACACCAAUGGCGGAAGGCAGCCUUCUGGGCCAACACUGACGCUCAUGCACGAAAGCGUGGGGAGCAAACAGG